AUGAUGAAGAAGAGAUGGACGUGGAUGUGCAUGAGGACGAAGAGAUGGAUGUGGAUAUGGAAGAGUCCAUUGAGGACAUGGAUAUUGAUUAAGAAGGUGCGAUGGACAUCACCGACAGAGGCACCACCCUUUUGUAUAUAUGUUUUACACUUUGUUGUUGUUUUUUAGAAUAUAGAUUUUAGGGCUAUUUUGGACUUCUGUAAAUACAUUUCACAUAGUUUUGCUAGGUAGGUUUUUCUCUAUAUAUGUUCUAUCAAUUGUUGUUGUUACAAACAUUCUUAGAAUGUAAAUAUCUUCUGUAUUUUUGCUUCUGUUCUUCUGUAAUAAACAAAUUUUAUUUUUCACA